rnacentral:rRNA from 1 species
UACAGGAGGUCUCAAGCGUUGUUCGGAUUCAUUGGGCGUAAAGGGUGUGUAGGUGGCGCGCUAAGUCGGGUGUGAAAACCCGCGGCUUAACCGUGGGCCUUGCAGCCGAAUACGGGCAGGCUAGAGUUCGGUAGGGGAGACUGGAAUUCCUGGUGUAGCGGUGAAAUGCGCAGAUAUCAGGAGGAACACCGGUGGCGAAGGCGGGUCUCUGGGCCGAUACUGACGCUGGAGGAGCGAAAGCGUGGGGAGCGAACAGG